GAUUAUUGAGAUUUUCCGGUAUAUUAAUUUGCCAGCCGGCUAUGUGUUGUUUUUGUCGUAAAAAAUUAAACUUAUUUUUUUCUAAAAAUUAAAUUUUAAAUUAAAAAAAAUAAAAUAUUUUUUAUGAAAAGUAUGAUUUAAAAUUAUUUUGCAUUUAAAAUAUAAUUAAAUUAAAUAUAAUCUAUUAUUGUCAAUAAAAUAUAUAUAAAUGUAAUAUAUUUAUAUCAUUGAGAAAUAAGCUAAUUAUAUAUCAUAUACUUAUUUUAUAUGAUAAUUUUAUAUACAAAUUAUUUAUUACUUUACUAAUCAUUGUAUUAGUUGUGUUUAUGAGUAUAAUGCUUUUGUAGCAUACUGUUUUUGUAAUAUAUUGCUACUGCUUUGCCAUCAACUCUAUCAGAGGCUUAAGUAAUAGAUUAAUGGCAGAAGACAGUGCAUACAAAUUCAAGAUAUCUAAUUUUUAAAAUACAUACAAGAAAAAUAGAAGGGUUGAAUAAACUAAUGUUAAAACAGUGAAAAAGAGGUUUGCUUGAAAAAAGAAAAGAGAAAGAGAAUGAAUUUCAUAGAUAAUGGGUAUGAUUAGUUGAACUGUAAUUUUAGAAUUUUACGGUAAAAUUUAAUGUGUAGGAAUUUUUUAUUUAGUUUUAAGCCAAGUUCGGAACUAUGCUAUGCGCUAGUCGGACGGUGAUCCCUUACCGAGCGAAUUAUCAAAAAUCAGAGAUUAAGCAGAAUAUACGUAGAGCCUAGUUUUUAUAUUUUUUAAUUAUAUAUAAUACAUGUGAAAACUAAACAUAGAAACAAGAUAUCCGACCCGGACAUAACAAAUUAUCAACAAAUCAGACAAAAAAUAGGGGAGUAUUUGAAGAUUUUCUUAGAAUUAUUAUUGAUGUUGUUAUAUAAUAAAUAGUCCAUGUAAACAACGAAACUCUGUUGUCCAGCGGCUAAUGUGCCCAGUUAAAGUCACAGAACGAUGGUCCUAUUCAUCAUACAAUUAUCAGUUUCCAACUUUUGUGACCGAAUAACAUAGAUUCGCCACGGCCAAGGUUCGUAGAACGCUUGCUUGCUGCGUUUUAGAACAGGGAUGGAAUGUACAUUUAAUAUUUAUUGUUACAAGAAUAAGAUUGAUACAUCAAAAAGAGGAGAUUUUAGAAUAAAAAAAAUUUACAGCUAUUUUUUUUUUUGGCUGUAGCUUUAAAAUCCAAUAUAAAACAUGAUUGAUGAUUUAAAAACAGUAGACAAAAUUAAAGCUAAAAUCAGCUCCUGCAGUCUACCCAAUCAUCCUUGAUGUAUCCAAAAUUCUAUAUUAAAAAAUGUAUUUUGUUUAAAACAAAAUUGGUAAAUAUAUUGGCUAUUUAUAUGAAUUGUAAUCCCCUAAUAUAUUAAAAGAUAAACAUUUGUAAUAAAUGUGUUCACACUAAUUGAUACGUAGAAGUCUCACAGUCAUUUAAAAAUUUAUUUGUUCAUAUACUAAUUUUCUUAACUCCAGCGCAUACAAUUUAAUGUGUUCAUACACUAAUUUUUUAAUCAACUCAUUUUUAGUUUCAGCAUUUUUAACUUUUGUAUUAGUAAAUUGAAGUUAUCUCCGUGCAACUACUAAAUAAUAUCAUUGUUGAAAAAAAAAGUUACAAACUCAUUAAGAUUCGCAUCAACUAAAAUGUUGUAAUGAGAAUGUUUUUAGAAAUUGAAAGUUUCGUACCUUGCGAAACUUGACCAUGGUUGAAGCUUCGGUACACGAAAGCAACAAAUAAUUGUAAAAGAAUAUAAAUUAAAGAAAUUGAGGUGAAAAACACCACACACAAAGUGUGAUCUCUAAUUUAGCCAAGUAAUGCUUUUUACUGAGUUUUCAUAUCAAAUUAAGAAUUAAAAAAUAAUCAUAUUGGUAGGAAACAAAUUAUAAAUCAGAAAAUCUUUAAAAGAAAAUAAGAUCAUUUGCAAAAUCAAUUGAAAAACAGAAUUCAAGUGCCGAUUGAAGAGAUCAUAUUAUUUUCGACGCAACCCUAACACCUUCUAUUCGAUUAUAUCUUGUUUUUAAUAUAUUUACCCAGAAUUGUUUUAUAAAAAAAUACACGCUAUUGGUUGUAGAGUACGCCAAUUUUACAACAUGCCUAACAAUAUUGACACGACGGACGCCCAACAAUAUCAUAUAUUCAAAACUAUGAAAAUAUCUAAAAAUUAUGUAAGUAGUCACAAAUAAAUAUCUAAAAAUUACAAUAAGAAUGUUCAAAAUACUUAUAAUAUCUAUUUUUCUCCAUCCAAAUAUUUAAAUUGAACUAAUUUUAAGUAAAUUUAAGAAUUUAUUGUUACAUUAUUUAAAUAUUUAGGUUUUAUAUUAUUUUUAUUUUUCAGAUUUUGAGGAAAUGAAUCCGAACAGAUUUAUUUCUUCCCUAGAAAAAGCUAUACAACAAGUCCCUUAGUACAAUGUAAAACAAAAAAUUUAAUUAACUAUUUCACUCUACACAUGACACAGAUCCUUGUAAUCUAAUAUUUCUUAAAAAUAAUAUAUGUUUAUAGUCCAAGUAUAGUUAUAAAUAUAUAGUAGCAACUAUUUGAUUGACUUAGCAUAUAAGUAUAUGUUUAUUAUCAUGAAUUGCAGCAGCAAAUUUGUCUCUUUCCUUUGAACUUUUUUUUAAUUAAUAUUUUUUUUAAUUCAAUGCCAAGUGUCAACUUAACUCCAAAAGAAUCUUGUCAGAAUGGAGUCAAAAUUACGUGUAAUAGUCAAAACAUUAAAUAAAACUGUAGCAAAACCAACUCAGAAAAUAUUCACUUUCAAUUUAUUUGUAACCGCUACUUAAAACUACCACAAAGCAUCAAAUCUAUGGUUAGAUAAGAUAACUAAAUAUUUACAUUCAUUGGCUCAAAAUAAUCUUUUUACAUAAAUGCCACUUUCAUACGUGUGUAAAACGAGUAGGAUGACCUUAUAUCUACCAAUCAAUUUCACAUUCUUCUCCAUCACAAACUAGUCAUGUCACCUCCAACACUAGACCAACUACACACCUACCAUGCCCAAGAAAGGGUGAUAUUCUCUAAACUGGUCCUACAAUUUUCAAGUUCACCAUCUGAAUCACUCCUUGUCAUGGCUACAUGGUUUUGGCUUGAAAACUUUGGUUUUGAAGACAUUUUUGCAACCAUCUUUGCUCUUCCAGAUCGACUCAUUGCAUCUCUUGCUAACGAAGCUGUCUCCUGCUUCCGAUGCAUCGAGUCCUCUGAUCCCCCAAAUGGCUUCGACCAAAUCCCUCUCACUUCACGAUAUUUGCAAAAACAGAUCUCACUUUCCAUGAUUUACAAAUAUCGAUACACCGCCAUUGCUGGUAUCAAAACCUUUCUAAACACCAUUUGUUCUAGAAUCUUUUCAGACAUCCUUGCACAAGUUCUUCCAUAUUCUUCACCACCAUAUUUCGUCCCCGGAUUCCACCCAUCUCUGAUCAUACCUGGCUUCCCGCAUCCGACUUUCGGAAACAUCAAUGUCAUGCGACCUGAUCUAGGUUCUGGGGUUAACACCUUCAACAAACAACUCGUUCCUAUUCCCAAAGGGUCUUUGGGAGUGGAACGAUCACUCCAUGGAAAGUGAGAACGAUCGAACCAUGUUUAUAACGUUUUCUCGUGGCUUUCCUGUGUCGCAGGCCGAAGUUAAGGAGCUUUUCACCAACAUAUUUGGAGAAAAGUGUGUGGUAGGCGUUUACAUGCGAGAAGACUGCGUAAGUUCACCUAAUAUAUUUGCGUGUAACAAUGAUCAGCAACAAUCACUAUUUGCUAAGUUGGUUUUGGACUCGGUGGUUACGGUGGAUCGUAUAUUAGAAGGUGAGAAGCUCCAAAAAUUUCGGAUCAAUGGUAAACACAUUUGGGCUCGCAAAUACAACGAUAAGAAGGACGGACGUACUUGCUUCACCUAAAAGUUGAAAGAAAAUCUAAUUUUUUUUUGUUCAUCUUUAUCUUAAUGUUAUAAUUUAAUAAUAAGAAAACAUAUGUAAUGCCUGACGCCUAGCUCUUUAAUUUUGUACUUUCUCAUUAUGAAUGAAAUAUGUGUUCACAUAAUUUAGCAAUGUCACUGCAAAUUUACUUUAAAACAAAUGUAACACAAAACUAUAUUGUGCAUGAACACAUCCUCUUUUUUAUCAAGCUUAUGCUGAUUCACUUUUGAUUAGGCGAUUAGUCAGAAUUUUAUCUAGAUCUAUUGACUUGAAGGAAAUAAUUUCCCAAGAACCAUAUUGUAAGUACACUAUCAAAUUACUUUUCAAGUUAAUUUUCUUCCAAGCUUAUUAAAAUAUAAAAUUGUAUAUUUCAUAUAAUAUUUUUGUUUUGCUUUAGUAUUUACGUGAAUACAAUUAAACUACAUAAUAAAAUGUCACAAAACUAACUAAAAUAUAUGAUAAAAUAUUAACUUCAACAUCAAUUGGCAGAUAUUUACUAAAUUCAAAUUUCUUACUCAUAUUUUAUGCAUGCAGUAGUUUUUAUCCUUUUAAAAUACAGAUAUUACAAUAUAAAAUAAAUGACACAUCAUAAUAUUAUUGGUAAAAGUUGAAAAAUUAUCGGUUGUAACUGGUAAAUAAAUAUUUGAACUAGUGGAAUAAAAAUAAAUGUAUUAACAGGAAUGGAGUAUAAAAAAUGGAAUCGAUUAAUUCCAUUUAUUCAUGAACAAAUUUGUUAUGGACUAAUUUUCUUUGUAUAUCUAUUUAUUUAUGGAAUUGACGAAAUGACUAUUUUAUUUUAUUCAUAGUAAACGAUAAAAGUGGAAUUAAUAGAAUCGAUCAUUUCAGAUCAUUUUAAUUUAAAAAAUACAAUAUUUGAACUAGUUGAAUAAAAUAAAUGAAUUAACAGAAAUAUAAUAUAAAAAUAGAAU